rnacentral:rRNA from 1 species
UACGUAGGCAGCAAGCGUUGUUCGGAGUUACUGGGCGUAAAGGGUGCGUAGGCGGCUUCUUAAGUUUGGUGUGAAAUCUCCCGGCUCAACUGGGAGGGUGCGCCGAAUACUGAGAGGCUAGAGUGUGGGAGAGGAAAGUGGAAUUCCUGGUGUAGCGGUGAAAUGCGUAGAUAUCAGGAGGAACACCGGUGGUGUAAACGCUUCUGGACCAUAACUGACGCUGAGGCACGAAAGCGUGGGUAGCAAACAGG